rnacentral:rRNA from 1 species
AGUUUGAUUAUGGCUCCAGAUUGAACGCUGGCGGGAUGCUUUACAUGCAAGUCGAACGGCAACUGGACUUCAGUCUGGUGGCGGUGGCGAACGGGUGAGUAAUGUAUCGGAACGUGCCUAGUAGCGGGGGAUAACUACGCGAAAGCGUAGCUAAUACCACAUACGCCCUUCGGGGGAAAGCGGGGGACCUUCGGGCCUCGCACUAUUGAAGGCAGCCGAUAUCGGAUUAGCUAGUUGGUGGGGUAACGGCUCACCAAGGCGACGAUCCGUAGCUGGUUUGAAGGACGACCAGCCACACUGGGACUGAGACACGGCCCAGACUCCUACGGAGGCAGCAGUGGGGAAUUUUGGACAAUGGGGGAAACCUGAUCCAGCCAUCGCGUGUGCGAUGAGGCCCCUUCGGAUUAAAGCACUUUUGGCAGGAAAGAAACGGCACGGGAUAAUACCCCGUGCAACUGACAAUACCCUGCAGAAUAAGCACCGGCUAACUUCGUGCCAGCAACCGCGGUAAUACGUAGGAGUGCAAGCGUUAAAUGGAAUUACUGGGCGUAAAGCGUGCGCAGGCGGUUCGGAAAGAGAAAGAUGUGAAAUCCCAGAGCUUAACUUUGGAACUGCAUUUUUUUAACUACCGAGCUAGAGUGUGUCAGAGGAGGUGGAAUUCCAUGUAGCAGUGAAAUGCGUAGAUAUGCGGGAAGACACCGAUGGCAAGGCGGCGCCUCAGGAUAACACUGACGCUCAUGCACGAAAGCGUGGGAGCAAACGGAUUGAUACACCUGGUAGUCCACGCCCUAAACGAUGUCAACUAGCUGUUGAGGCCUUCGGGCCUUGGUAGCGCAGCCCCAACGCGUGAAGUUGACCGCCUGGGGAGUACGUUAUAGAUUAAAACUCAAAGGAAUUGACGGGGUUUGCACAAGCGGUGGAUGAUGUGGAUUAAUUCGAUGCAACACGAAAAGCCUUACCUACCCUUGACAUGUCUGGAAUCCCGAAGAGAUUUGGGAGUGCUCAAGAGAACCGGAACACAGGUACUGCAUGGCUGUCGUCAGCUCGUGUCGUGAGAUGUUGGGUUAAGUCCCGCAACGAGCAAGCCCUUGUCAUUAGUUGCUACGAAGGGCACUCUAAUGAGACUGCCGGUGACAAACCGGAGGAAGGUGGGGAUGACGUCAAGUCCUCAUGGCCCUUAUGGGUAGGGCUUCACGUCAUACAAUGGUCGGGACAGAGGGUCGCCAACCCGCGAGGAGCCAAUCCCAGAAACUGAUCGUAGUCCGGAUCGCAGUCUGCAACUCGACUGCGUGAAGUCGGAAUCGCUAGUAAUCGCGGAUCAGCAUGUCGCGGUGAAUACGUUCCCGGGUCUUGUACACACCGCCCGUCACACCAUGGGAGUGGGUUUUACCCGAAGUAGUUAGCCUAACCGUAAGGAGGGCGAUUACCACGGUAGGAUUCAUGACUGGGGUGAAGUCAUGGGUAA